CAAUAGCGUAUAUUAAAGCUGUUGCGGUUAAAAAGCUCGUAGUUGGAUUUCUGUCAAGGACAACUGGUCCGCCCUCCGGGUGAGCACAUAGUUUGGUCUUGACAUCUUGCUGGAAGCUGUUGCUGCACUUGGCUGUGUGGCGCAGUGUUCAGCACUUUCACUUUGAGGAAAUUGGAGUGUUUCAAGCAGGCACAUGCCUUUGGACACAGUAGCAUGGAAUAAUUAGAUUGGGCUUUUGCUCCAAUUUGUCGGUUUCUGGAGCUGAGGUGAGUAUUAAUGGGGAUUGUUGGGGGCAUCUGAAUUUAGCCGUCAGAGGUGAAAUUCUUGGAUCUGCUAAAGACGGACAACUGCGAAAGCGUUUGCCCAGGAUGUUUUCAUUGA
rnacentral:rRNA from 1 species